rnacentral:rRNA from 1 species
UAUUAAUAAUAAUUAUAAAAUUUAUAUUUAUUAAAAUUUUAAUAAAAUUUUUAUGUUAAAGUAUAAUUUUUUAAAAAAUUAAUUAAAUUAUAAUUUAAAGUAAUGUAAAUGAUAUAUUUAUAUAAAUAUUUAAAAGUAAAAGUUAAUUUUUUACCUUUUGUAUCAGGAUUAAUUAAUUUAAUUUAAUAAUAAUUAUUUAUCUCGAAAAUAAAAGAGCUAAAAAUAAAUUAUUUUUAUUAUAAUAUUAAUAUUAUAAAUUUAUUUUUAGAAAUUAAAUGUUAUACGAAUUUAUUAAUAUCUAGUUUUUUAUGAAUUAAAUUUAAUUUAUAUAUAAAUUAAUUUAUUUAUAUAAUAUUUAUAUAAAUAAAUAAUUUAUAUAAAAAAUUUAUGGGAUAAACUAUAAAUUUAAAUUUAUAAUUUAUAUAUACAUAUAUAUAUAUAUAAUAUAUUCAUAAAAUUUGAAAUUAUUUGAAAAUAUUUAAUAAUUUAAUAAUUUUGUAUAUAAAAAAUUUUAAAAUAAAUAUAAAUUUUAAAUAAAAAAAUUUUUUAAAUUAUAAAAAAAAUAAUAUAAUGAUUAAAUAAGUAAUUAUGAAUUAUAAUAUUUAUUUAUAUAUAUAUAUAUAUAUAUAAGGAAUUCGGCAAAUUAAAUAUAUUCACCUGUUUAACAAAAACAUGGCUUAUAGAUUUUAAUUUUAAGUCAAUCUGCCCAAUGAAUAAUUAAAUGGCUGCAGUAUAAUUGACUGUACAAAGGUAGCAUAAUCAAUUGUCUUUUAAUUAAAGGCUAGAAUGAAAGAAUUAAUGAAAUAUAUACUGUCUCAAAUAUAAUUAUUGAAAUUAAAUUUUAAGUAAAAAUUCUUAAAUAAAAUUAUGGGACGAUAAGACCCUAUAAAAUUUUAUAUUAUAUUUAUAUAUUAAAUUAUUUUUUGGUUUGUAUUUAAAUAAUAAUAUUUUAUUGGGGAGAUAAUUAAAUUUAUUAAACUUUAAUAUUAUUUAAUCUAUAAUUAUAGAAUAUUAAAAGAAUUAAUAUUAUUAAUUUUAAAAUAAAUUACUUUAGGGAUAACAGCGUAAUAUCUUUUUAUAGAUCAUAUUAAAAAAGAUGAUUGCGACCUCGAUGUUGAAUUAAGAUAAAAAUUAAAUGCAGAAAUUUAAAAAUUAAGUCUGUUCGACUUUUAAAAUCUUACAUGAUUUGAGUUCAGAUCGACGUAAGUCAGAUCGGUUUCUAUCUAUAAUUUAAUAAUUAUUUUUUGUACGAAAGGACUAAAAUAAUAAAAUAUUUUUAUUAUAAAUUUAAUUAAUAUAUAUAUAUAUAUACAUAUAAUUAUUUUAGCAAAUUAGUGCAUUAAAUUUAGAAUUUGAA